rnacentral:rRNA from 1 species
GUAGGUGGCAAGCGUUGUCCGGAAUUAUUGGGCGUAAAGCGCGCGCAGGCGGGGUUCGUUUAAGUCUGAUGUGAAAAGCCCACGGCUCAACCGUGGAGGGUCAUUGGAAACUGGAGAACUUGAGUACAGAAGAGGAAAGCGGAAUUCCACGUGUAGCGGUGAAAUGCGUAGAGAUGUGGAGGAACACCAGUGGCGAAGGCGGCUUUCUGGUCUGUAACUGACGCUGAGGCGCGAAAGCGUGGGGAGCAAACAGGAUUAGAUACCCUGGUAGUCCACGCCGUAAACGAUGAGUGCUAAGUGUUAGGGGGUUUCCGCCCCUUAGUGCUGCAGCUAACGCAUUAAGCACUCCGCCUGGGGAGUACGGCCGCAAGGCUA